UACGUAGGGGGCAAGCGUUGUCCGGAAUUAUUGGGCGUAAAGAGCGCGUAGGCGGUCCGAUAAGUCGGCUGUGAAAGUCAGGGGCUCAACCCUUGGAAGCCGGCCGAUACUGUCGGACUAGAGUCCGGAAGAGGCGAGUGGAAUUCCCGGCGUAGCGGUGAAAUGCGCAGAUAUCGGGAGGAACACCAAUGGCGAAGGCAGCUCGCUGGGACGGUACUGACGCUGAGGCGCGAAAGCGUGGGGAGCAAACAGG
rnacentral:rRNA from 1 species